rnacentral:rRNA from 1 species
UCACACCACGAAAGCCGAUUGGACCUGAAGCCACGGGGUUUUCCUGUGCCCACGGUCUGAUUGGUGAUUGGGGUG